UGGAGCGACUCAGUUUGUCAUAGUUCAUAGCUGGGCGGUUCUUCCUGAUGCCCCAUAGCCUGGCCACAUGAGCUGAGUCUUCUAUUUUGAAAAUUCCUUUGGAAAGAAAGAAAAUUCUGGAAAUCAGCUGAAGUGAAUAAGGGGCAUGCUAAUGCACUGUGAGGUUGUACUUAGGCACAGGGGUGCCUCAAACUAAAUGCUAACAUCAGUAUGUUAACAUGACAACUCUAACAUGUUGACCUAAGCAGCUCCCUGUGACUCUACCACAUUACCUUUCUCUUUGUUGAGCCAGCGGAUGCAGCGGCUGUAGUUAUGCGGCUUGAGGAGCAGCUCUCGAAGAAACUGCCACAGAUCUCCAGAUGUCCAGAUGAGCGUACAGCACAUCUCCAAACUGCAAGGAGCGUUGCCUGAAGUCUGCUUCUGUCAUGGAGCACAGAU